AUUGAACGCUGGCGGCAUGCCUUACACAUGCAAGUCGAACGGUAACAGGUUAAGCUGACGAGUGGCGAACGGGUGAGUAAUGUAUCGGAACGUGCCCAGUCGUGGGGGAUAACUGCUCGAAAGAGCAGCUAAUACCGCAUACGACCUGAGGGUGAAAGCGGGGGAUCGCAAGACCUCGCGCGAUUGGAGCGGCCGAUAUCAGAUUAGGUAGUUGGUGGGGUAAAGGCCUACCAAGCCUACGAUCUGUAGCUGGUCUGAGAGGACGACCAGCCACACUGGGACUGAGACACGGCCCAGACUCCUACGGGAGGCAGCAGUGGGGAAUUUUGGACAAUGGACGCAAGUCUGAUCCAGCCAUGCCGCGUGC
rnacentral:rRNA from 1 species